UGGGGAAUAUUGCCCAAUGGGCGAAAGCCUGAUGCAGCAACGCCGCGUGAGCGAUGAAGGCCUUCGGGUCGUAAAGCUCUGUCCUCAAGGAAGAUAAUGACGGUACUUGAGGAGGAAGCCCCGGCUAACUACGUGCCAGCAGCCGCGGUAAUACGUAGGGGGCUAGCGUUAUCCGGAAUUACUGGGCGUAAAGGGUGCGUAGGUGGUUUCUUAAGUCAGAAGUGAAAGGCUACGGCUCAACCGUAGUAAGCUUUUGAAACUAGAGAACUUGAGUGCAGGAGAGGAGAGUAGAAUUCCUAGUGUAGCGGUGAAAUGCGUAGAUAUUAGGAGGAAUACCAGUAGGGAAGGCGGCUUUCUGGACUGUAACUGACAUUGAGGCACGAAAGCGUGGGGAGCAACCAGGAUUAGAUACCCUGGUAGUCCACCCCGUAAACGAUGAGUACUAGGUGUCGGGGGUUACCCCCCUCGGUGCCGCAGCUAACGCAUUAAGUACUCCGCCUGGGAAGUACGCUCGCAAGAGUGA
rnacentral:rRNA from 1 species